rnacentral:rRNA from 1 species
UACGUAGGGGGCCAGCGUUGUUCGGAAUUACUGGGUGUAAAGGGUUCGUAGGCGGUGUGGCAAGUCGGGAGUGAAAUCUCUGGGCCCAACUCAGAGACUGCUUCCGAAACUGCUGUGCUGGAGUGUGGGAGAGGCGCGUGGAAUUGCAGGUGUAGCGGUGAAAUGCGCAGAUAUCAGGAAGAACACCAAUGGCGAAGGCAGCUCUCUGGGACGGUACUGACGCUGAGACGCGAAAGCGUGGGGAGCGAACAGG